CUGAAAUUCACGGGUUCAAAUACACUUCCUGAAAGAUAAACCAGAAACGGAACUACCUAGGCCAAUAAGUAUUUUAUAUACAGGAAGCAUCAAUGAGUAGCACUUGAUACCUAUCAAGAUCAGUUGAACUGUAACAAAAUGCACAAAAAAAUCCCUGAAUACUUUGGAUGAGCCGAGACCUAAAAAACUUGCCUUUUAUCCUACUUAUGUUUCCUACUGUGACUCCACUUGAUUUCAGAUCCUUGUUCCCUUUUAGCAUUGACAAAGGAAAAAAAAAAGGAACUAGCUGCACUGUAUGUUAGAUGUCCAAAGGCAACACAGAAAAAGCGCAGCCAAAAAUCAUCUGCUUGACUGCUUCGAUAUUGCCCUUCAAACGGUAACACACCAAAAAAGCAGAAAGUUUAGAGAAAACAGUCUCAAUCACAAUUAAGAUUGAGAUAGCUGGUAAAAUUUUCAGUUUCCUUCCAUGAAUUCCAUACCAUUGCCAACUGGAACAUCCAACAGCAUCUUCAAUACUGUAUCUGAAUAAUCCAUAAAUUCAUUAGAGCUGAUCGAAUCUGAACCAGUUAUGAUAUCCGCAUUUGGUUUGCAGUUAUCCUUUUGUUCAUGAGCGCCCUCCUGUUUAAUGGACAUCAUUUGAACCAUAUUCUCAUUGUCAAUUGAAACAGACCCAAAUUUUGUAGAUGAAGAUGCUUGCGAGAUAGGACUUUCACACUCUUCCCCAUCUUUUCCCUUGAUAUUGCGAAACGAUUCCCCAACUUCAGAGUUCCAUAACUGGAGAAAGUAAUCAUAUUCCAUCUUAACUGAUGAUGAUGGGUUAAGCAACAAUGAUUCCAUUGACAGACGGGCCUCAGCCUCAACCCUGGCGCUCUCCCAUUGUAUCAUGUGCCGGGUUGACGGAGACUCACAUUUUAUAUUGAUAGGCUCAGAAGAAGAGCAAGAAAUCUGCAACUUUUGAUCCAAGGUAGAGACACGCUUCUUCAGAUGUGUGUUCCAGAAGUUCUUAAUCUCAUUGUCAGUUCUCCCUGGUAAUUGGGAUGCUAUGGAUGCCCACUUGUUACCAAGCAUGCCAUGAAGUUGAAUAAUGGUAGCUUCUUCUUCAGGAGUAAAUGGGCCUCGUUUAAUGUCGGGGCGAAGAUAGUUUGUCCAUCGUAGACGGCAGCUCUUUCCACAUCGAAGCAGACCUGCAUUCUUAGGGAGGGAGCGCCAACUACCAUGACCAUGUUUCUGGAUGUAUUGAACCAAGAUUCUGUCUUCUUCGGGGCUCCAAGCUCCUUUCUUAACUCCAUCUUUAUCGCAACAAGGAGUUCUUCCCAUCUUCUUCUUUUUCACCUCCUCUUCCCUUUGUGCUCUGGUCUUCUUCUCAAGAGAUGUCAUCAAAGUGAGCGAGCUUCUUCUUCUUCUCUUCGCAAAACAAACUCUAAAAAUAAAAUGAUUAUACAGAAUUCCGUUUGGUCAAUGCUCUUUCUGUGAGCAUUGGAAACGCAAGAUGCACUAGUGGCUGACUGAUAACUCUGCCUCUUCUUGCACGAAAA
rnacentral:misc_RNA from 1 species